GCACACAAAACCCCUCACUUCCACCUCAGAAACAGCCCCACAGCCCUCCUUACAGACUCCUACAGACAGACCAGCACAGGCCCCCCACUCCCCAAGGCCCCCAACUGCCGCACAGAAGCAAUCCCAGGACGCUUUCCAGAGUCUCUCUGCCCCUCACAGACCUUGCCCUGGCUUUGCUGAACAUCAUUAGGACACCACUCGUGACCGCCUCCACCCGGACACACAGCCAUUGAGCACAGCUCUCUGGCUGCGACUGUCCAGCCAAUUCCACCCCAUAGCCCACCCUUCGAACACAGACCAAUCCAAACCAGUGCCAAUCUGUCUCCACUGCAAUGGUGCAGAGGAUGGCCACCUCACAGUGCCUUUUUGCUGCCUCCAGUUACUGUGGUCAUCGAUCACUGACAGCCCCUCCAUCUCUGAGCCCUACAGAUAACGCUGGCUCACCUCCACUGCUAAAGGCCCGGGUAACCCCACCCAGUGUUGGCUGGUGACAGUGGGAAACCACUGGGCCCGAAUAUCCUCCCUCAGAGAGAAAACUGUCCCAAGGGGUGAGAACUCAUUGCAGGGAUGGUCAACUUCCACUGGGACGGGAGGCCCUUGGGAAGGAAGAGCACUGCGCUGCAAAAUGCCCAUUGGGAGGGUCAGUGAUCAUUGGAAUGGGAAACAACUGGGAUGGGAAGGAUGUUUGCCUACGAAAAAUCAAACCACCUCAAGCCUGGGGGAAAGGGGCUGACCCCAACGGUCACGCAACCCCCCGUGGGGGGAGGGGCUCCCCUAACUGCCACUCUCCAGCUGUCAUGGCAGGUAAGGCAGCAGGCUUCCCCUGCUCCCGUGCUUCAGCUGGCCCCAGCGCCCCAGAUCUCACCCCUUGUAACCCAGAUCUCACCCCAGCACCCCAGAUCUCACCCCUGUAACCCAGAUCCCACCCCUGUAACCCAGAUCUCACCCCUUUAACCCAGAUCCCACGCCAGCACCCCAGAUCUCACCCCUGUAAGCCCCAGAACUCACCCCAGCACCCCAGAUCCCACCCCUGUAACCCAGAUCUCACCCCAGCACCCCAGAUCCCACCCCUGCACCCCAGAUCUCACCCCUGUAACCCAGAUCCCACCCCUGUAACCCAGAUCUCACCCCUGUAACCCAGAUCCCACCCCAGCAACCCAGAUCUCACCCCUGUAACCCAGAUCUCACCCCAGCACCCCAGAUCCCACCCCUGUAACCCAGAUCCCACCCCAGCACCCCAGAGCCCCAGAUCCCACCCCUGUAAGCCCGAUCUCACCCCUGUGCCCCAGAUCCCUCCCCAGCGCCCCAGAUCUCACCCCUGUAACCCAGAUCCCACCCCAGCACCCCAGAUCUCACCCCUGUAAGCCAGAUCUCACCCCAGCACUCUAGAUCCCACCCCUGUAACCCAGAUCCCAUCCCAGCACCCCAGAUCCCACCCCUGUGCCCCAGAUCCCACCCCAGACCCCCAGAGCCCCAGAUCCCACCCCUGUAACCUAGAUCUCACCCCUGUCACCCAGAUCUCACCCCAGCACCCUAGAUCUCACCCCUGUAAGCCCCAGAUCUCACCCCAGCACCCUAGAUACCACCCCUGUAACCCAGAUCUCACCCCAGCACCCCAGAUCUCACCCCUGUAACCCAGAUCUCAGCCCAGCACCCCAGAUCCCACCCCUGCACCCCAGAUCCCACCCCUCUAACCCAGAUCUCACCCCUGUAACCCA
ensembl:lncRNA